ensembl:misc_RNA Metazoa_SRP Metazoan signal recognition particle RNA
GCUGGGCAUGGUGGUGCAUGCCUGUAAUCCCAGUUACUUGGGAGGCUGAGGCAGGAGAAUCGCUUGAACCAGGGAGUCGGAGGUUGCAGUGAGCUAAGAUCUGCCACUGCACUCCAGCCUGGGUGACAGGGCAAGACUCUGCCUCAA